UGGUUAGUGUUCUUCCUGCUA
rnacentral:siRNA from 1 species